UUACCAGACUCCUACGGGAGGCAGCAGUGGGGGAUAUUGCACAAUGGGGGGAACCCUGAUGCAGCGACGCCGCGUGGGUGAAGGAGCGUUUCGGCGCGUAAAGCCCUGUCAGCAGGGAAGAAAAUGACGGUACCUGAAGAAGAAGCCCCGGCUAACUACGUGCCAGCAGCCGCGGUAAUACGUAGGGGGCAAGCGUUAUCCGGAUUUACUGGGUGUAAAGGGGGCGCAGACGGCGAUGCAAGCCAGGAGUGAAAGCCCGGGGCCCAACCCCGGGACUGCUCUUGGAACUGCGUGGCUGGAGUGCAGGAGGGGCAGGCGGAAUUCCUGGUGUAGCGGUGAAAUGCGUAGAUAUCAGGAGGAACACCGGCGGCGAAGGCGGCCUGCUGGACCGCGACUGACGUUGAGGCUCGAAAGCGUGGGGAGCGAACAGGAUUAGAUACCCGAGUA
rnacentral:rRNA from 1 species